rnacentral:rRNA from 1 species
UACGAAGGGGGGCUAGCGUUGCUCGGAAUCACUGGGCGUAAAGCGCACGUAGGCGGCUUUUUAAGUCAGGGGUGAAAUCCUGGAGCUCAACUCCAGAACUGCCUUUGAUACUGGGAGCUCGAGUCCGGGAGAGGUGAGUGGAACUCCGAGUGUAGAGGUGAAAUCGUAGAUAUUCGGAAGAACACCAGUGGCGAAGGCGGCUCACUGGCCCGGUACUGACGCUGAGGUGCGAAAGCGUGGGG